rnacentral:rRNA from 1 species
UACAGAGGUCUCAAGCGUUGUUCGGAUUCAUUGGGCGUAAAGGGUGUGUAGGUGGCGCGCUAAGUCGGGUGUGAAAUUUCGGAGCUUAACUCCGAAACUGCAUUCGAUACUGGCGUGCUUGAGGACUGGAGAGGAGACUGGAAUUUACGGUGUAGCAGUGAAAUGCGUAGAUAUCGUAAGGAAGACCGGUGGCGAAGGCGGGUCUCUGGACAGUUCCUGACACUGAGACACGAAGGCCAGGGGAGCAAACGGG